UACGUAGGGUGCGAGCGUUAAUCGGAAUUACUGGGCGUAAAGGGCGCGUAGGCGGCCCGCUAAGUCGAACGUGAAAUCCCCGGGCUCAACCCGGGAACUGCGUCCGAUACUGGCAGGCUUGAAUCCGGGAGAGGGAUGCGGAAUUCCAGGUGUAGCGGUGAAAUGCGUAGAUAUCUGGAGGAACACCGGUGGCGAAGGCGGCAUCCUGGACCGGCAUUGACGCUGAGGCGCGAAAGCCAGGGGAGCAAACGGG
rnacentral:rRNA from 1 species